UAGCUUGCUCUUAUGAAGUUAGCGGCGGACGGGUGAGUAACACGUGGGUAACCUGCCCAUAAGACUGGGAUAACUCCGGGAAACCGGGGCUAAUACCGGAUAACAUUUUGAACCGCAUGGUUCGAAAUUGAAAGGCGGCUUCGGCUGUCACUUAUGGAUGGACCCGCGUCGCAUUAGCUAGUUGGUGAGGUAACGGCUCACCAAGGCAACGAUGCGUAGCCGACCUGAGAGGGUGAUCGGCCACACUGGGACUGAGACACGGCCCAGACUCCUACGGGAGGCAGCAGUAGGGAAUCUUCCGCAAUGGACGAAAGUCUGACGGAGCAACGCCGCGUGAGUGAUGAAGGCUUUCGGGUCGUAAAACUCUGUUGUUAGGGAAGAACAAGUGCUAGUUGAAUAAGCUGGCACCUUGACGGUACCUAACCAGAAAGCCACGGCUAACUACGUGCCAGCAGCCGCGGUAAUACGUAGGUGGCAAGCGUUAUCCGGAAUUAUUGGGCGUAAAGCGCGCGCAGGUGGUUUCUUAAGUCUGAUGUGAAAGCCCACGGCUCAACCGUGGAGGGUCAUUGGAAACUGGGAGACUUGAGUGCAGAAGAGGAAAGUGGAAUUCCAUGUGUAGCGGUGAAAUGCGUAGAGAUAUGGAGGAACACCAGUGGCGAAGGCGACUUUCUGGUCUGUAACUGACACUGAGGCGCGAAAAGCGUGGGGGAGCAAACAGGAUUAGAUACCCUGGUAGUCCACGCCGUAAACGAUGAGUGCUAAGUGUUAGAGGGGUUUCCGCCCUUUAGUGCUGAAGUUAACGCAUUAAGCACUCCGCCUGGGGAGUACGGCCGCAGGCUGAAACUCAAAGGAAUUGACGG
rnacentral:rRNA from 1 species